rnacentral:rRNA from 1 species
AUUGAACGCUGGCGGCAUGCCUUACACAUGUAAGUCGAACGGCAGCGGACCUUCGGGUGCCGGCGAGUGGCGAACGGGUGAGUAAUAUAUCGGAACGUACCUUUCAGUGGGGGAGUAACGUAGCGAAAGUUAACGCUAAUACCGCAUAUUCUGUGAGCAGGAAAAGCAGGGGAUCGCAAGACCUUGCGCUGAUUGAGCGGCCGAUAUCAGAUUAGCUAGUUGGUGAGGUAAAGGCUCACCAAGGCGACGAUCUGUAGCGGGUCUGAGAGGAUGAUCCGCCACACUGGAACUGAGACACGGUCCAGACUCCUACGGGAGGCAGCAGUGGGGAAUUUUGGACAAUGGGCGCAAGCCUGAUCCAGCCAUGCCGCGUGAGUGAAGAAGGCCU